AGCGUAGGUGGUUAGGUAAGCCCUCCGGGAAAUCUUCAGGCUUAACCUGAAAAGGUCGGGGGGACGUGCCUGGCUAGAGGACGGGAGAGGAGCGCGGAAUUCCCGGUGUAGCGGUGAAAUGCGUAGAGAUCGGGAGGAAGGCCGGUGGCGAAGGCGGCGCUCUGGAACGUUUCUGACACUGAGGCUCGAAAGCGUGGGGAGCAAACA
rnacentral:rRNA from 1 species